rfam:Myotis brandtii contig206891, whole genome shotgun sequence.
GACAGUUCUCAGGUGACGCACCCCAGAAUCGGGUGCCUUCCUCUCUGGUGCCAGGUGCAUCACCCGAGAACCACA